rnacentral:rRNA from 1 species
GACGAACGCUGGCGGCGUGCCUAAUACAUGCAAGUCGAGCGGACUGACUGGGAGCUUGCUCUUGUUCGGUCAGCGGCGGACGGGUGAGUAACACGUGGGCAACCUCCCCGCAAGACCGGGAUAACUCCGGGAAACCGGAGCUAAUACCGGAUAACACCGAAGACCGCAUGGUCUUUGGUUGAAAGGCGGCGCAUGCUGCUACUUGCGGAUCGGCCCGCGGCGCUUUUGCUAGUUGGUGAGGCAACGGCUCACCAAGGCGACGUUGCGUAGCCGGCCGGCGAGGGUGAGCAGCCACACUGGGAGGGAGACCCGGCACAGAGGGCUUGGGGAAGGGGCAGUAGGGAAUCGUGCGGAAUGGGUGGAAGCCUGAGGGAGCGAGGCGGCGGCAGGGAAGAGGGCCGUCGGGUCGGGGAGCUCGGUUGUGGGGGAGGAAGGAGCGUCGUUUGAAGAAGGCGGGGCAGUGACGGUACCUCACGAGGAAGCCCCGGCUAACUACGUG